UAGGGGGUGGUGUGGAGCCCCACACCCAGCCAUGGAGACCCCAUAGACAGAGAAAUGGAGCAGACACCACAAAACCAUGGAUUGGGGACCCCAAAGACAAAAACUGGGGACCCCAUAAGGGCAGCGUUGGGUUGGAGACCCCAAAGACCCAAAGAACGGCCCAAAGUUCCCCCCACCCCCGAAAAACCCUGUUGGAAAUACCCAAAUAAUUUUUGUCGGAACGGUAUGUUUGAUAAAAGCAGAUUUUAUUCGUGAUUGCAAUGGUGGGCAUCCCAUAAGCAGGAGCGGGCCUAGGGACACAGUAUGACAGUCUAUAUACCUCGUUUUUCCCCCUCAGUUCCCCUGUUUUCCCACUGGCUGGGUACUCCAGGUUCACAGCCUUAUCAGAAAGUUUGCAUUUGUUAAUUACUUGUGAAUUUGUUUGUUAUCUGGUCUCAGUCCUGUCUCCAGCACAGCUCAACACUCUUCUUGUUCAUAUUGAUAUGGUGAUUUUCUUCAGAGUCCUCGUUAAACAAAGAAUAUGGAGGGGAGGUUCCCGAUCUUCCUCAAUACCUUCUUCAGGCACUCCCUGAGGCAUGGAACGAAUUGUCCUUUUAAUUUGCACAGGAUACUCUUGCCUUGUGUGUGACAUGUAUUUUCAAUGCUGGCUACAGAAGCAACAUUCAAUUCCCACGACCCCAAACCCACACAUCAAUUGUAAAUCCUCCAAAACUGCUGAAAACAAAAUGAAAUACUGCAAACCCCAAAAGACCCUCCCCAAAGACCCCAAAUACUCAACAAAAUACCCCAAACCCCACCAGAUCACCCCCAAAAUCCAACAAAUUGCCCCCAAAACCCAACAAAACACCCCCAAAUCCAUCAAAUCCCCAAAUCCCAUCAAUAUACCCCAAAACACACACACACAUACACACAAAAACAAACAAACAAACAAAAA